rnacentral:rRNA from 1 species
AGUGGGGAAUAUUGCACAAUGGGGGAAACCCUGAUGCAGCAAUGCCGCGUGAGUGAUGACGGCCUUCGGGUUGUAAAGCUCUGUCUUCGGGGACGAUAAUGACGGUACCCGAGGAGGAAGCCACGGCUAACUACGUGCCAGCAGCCGCGGUAAUACGUAGGUGGCAAGCGUUGUCCGGAUUUACUGGGCGUAAAGGGAGCGUAGGCGGACUUUUAAGUGAGAUGUGAAAUACCCGGGCUCAACUUGGGUGCUGCAUUUCAAACUGGAAGUCUAGAGUGCAGGAGAGGAGAAGGGAAUUCCUAGUGUAGCGGUGAAAUGCGUAGAGAUUAGGAAGAACACCAGUGGCGAAGGCGCUUCUCUGGACUGUAACUGACGCUGAGGCUCGAAAGCGUGGGGAGCAAA